CACAGCCGGUUGUGAUAUAGCCCAGAAUCUAACCAGGGUCUGUAUAUAGCCCAGAAUCGAAUGCAGUGCCUUAGUCUGCUGCGCCACUCGGGAGCUCGAUGUGGCCCAACCUAACCGUAAAUUAUUACGUUGGAUUGGAGCAGAUAGCUUGGAUUAUUAUUAUAAACAUACAAUCUUCACUGUUUAUGAUUCAAUAAUUAAUGUUAAACUGUGUUUCUGGAGGAUUUUAGAUUUAUUAUAAUGUUCUGGUGGUCUCAUUCGUGUGCAGAUAAGACACUUUGGCCCCAUUUCAAUUUGUCAAGAACAAGAUCCUAACCCUGAGUCCUUUUUUCCCAAUGCGCUUUGAGAAAGAGAAAGAAUGUGAGGAAUCAAGGAAAGAUGAAUAAGAAAAAGGCUUUGUAUGAUCUGUCCUUGAGGGAGGAGAUAAGAGGCUCUGUGUUGGCCUUUGAACUACAAAGCAUCAAUAACAAGUUUCUCUGACGGCUAAUUGACAAUUCUGCUUUGAAGAGCCAACAGUUUUUUUUUUUAGCUAUUUAUGGGUCUGCUUUGAGUCCAUGUAUGUGUGAUCUGUGAUGUGGUCCUUAAUGCUUACAUCCGAUGUCACAACCUUUUCUGUAUCCUGUUGCUUUGUCCCCCAUUCUAUUUGCAUGCCAAGCCUUUAAUAAGCCCAGCAGCUGCCCUUUCUUCAAUUUGAAUCCUAAUGAUCACUUUCAAAGGAAAGCGGCCCUAUCUCAAGUGUAGGAAGAGCCUGUCUAAGAAGAGCCUGUUGUCUGGCUCCCACUUCAGAUGUCUUUCGAGCGGUGCCCUUCCCCGGCACUGGCCAAGAUCACCUCCAAGUUGUGUCUGGAUUUCUACAAGGACAGGGAGAGAAAUGUAUCUGAAGGAAUAAGGUAAGAGUCUCCAGGCUAAGGGGUAUGACUACUGGUCUGGUCAGUUGUAUAAUGCUUUGGGUCGAUAGAGCAGAGAAAAUGACAAUAAUACAUGCAAUAGUUUUUCUUUUUCCUAAAGGGACAAACGAUUGGGUAAAAAAAAAAUUGAGCUAGCAAAGAGAGGGUCGAUAGCAGUUCAGUUUAAAGGCAAUAACUUAAAAUGCAUUUAACCAGUUCCUUGUAGAGUUUCUUGAAUAUUGUGUAGUUGCUUGAUAAAUUAGACUAGGUUUCUUGUCCUGAAAUGCUUUCAAAGGUUAUCAGUUAUAUGUUGAGGGCAAAUAUUUGUGGUGCAGUUGUUAAAAGAAUGGAAAACUCAGUAAGUCAGGAGACGGAAAUUAUGAAUCGUGAAUAAUCUGUGAUAUUGAUUCUAAUAAUUUUCUUAAAUAAAUAGUACUGUGGAUGUUUUAACACAGUUGGCAAAUACACAAGGCUACAUAACGACAAAAAAGAUUUGAGUACAAACAAAAACAAAAAGCAAUGUAAAAAUGUCUAAAUAGUGUAUUCAACAAUGAUGUGCCAGUUAUUGUUGACAAUAGUUUUAUUUUAUUCAAGCCUGCCCUACAUCCUUUCAGUAGCAAUGGUGAUAUCCAUGUUGGAGGAGGAUUCAUGUCAGAGGGGCUCUCAUCUGGUUUUGACAGGGGCUCUCCAGUCUCACAAAAUGUCUCUGUUAAAAGUCCUAUGUUUGCUUUAGAUCUUUGUUAGCUUUUGCCCUCAACUGUAGUGCACACUGCUUUAAUUCACUUAAAAAGGCUUUAGAAAAUUGUCUUAAUGAUCAGAUAUGACACUUUACAACUUUGAGGGAGUUGAGUCAAUGUCUUUGUAUUGUAUUUGUUCAUGUUUUCUCUGCUUUCUUGCAGAUUAUUCUUGUGUUAACGCACCACCCUUUUAGCUGGACGACUGUAACACACCAUGCAUUGGCAAGUGCACAUGGUUACACUAAUAUAUGAGGUUGCUUUGGGAAACAUUUUCAUUCGAAUCUGGAUUCCUUCCUAGCAAACUCUUUGUAGUUCAUCAAUGUAAACAGUGUUAAAAGUGACAAGAUUUACCCAACUGCCUUUCCAGCAUCACAGUAUUGAAAAACCUGGACAAAAUCACCGGAUGAAUAAUACAUUCUUAGUUAACUAACAAAAACAAAAAGUUUAAUAAAAAGACAAUUAAAAACAACUAAAUAUGAAUCAAAUUUUCAAAAUGUACAGGAGCCAUUAAGUUAACCUUCCAGCGGCUCUGGGGCAUCAUCCAACUGGGUGCUACACAUUAGUAGUGUAGAGGAGUAGUUAGCCAGCUAGCUAUGGAGUCCAUAAUGAGAGGCUGAGGACAAUGAGGUGUGCUAAAGGUUCCGCACCUGUCUCUGACUGGCUCUGAUAUGACCACUGACCUCCCUCGCUGUAACCAAGACGCUCCCCCCUCCCACCACCACUUGGAUCGUUUUACUUCCGUUCUUGCCUCAACUCCCUGACUUUUACAUUUUGUAGAAUCACAUUUUAUUAAAUGAAAUGUGGUUACUUGUAUAUAUUACUGCAAUAGUUAGCUGCAAAUUUUAGCUGCCAUAGUACACAUGAAAUUAAAUAAACCAUCAUCAUCAUACAUUAAUUAUGAGGCUGGUUCUAGUCAAACCCACCAAUGCAACACUUCGGCUUGAUUCAACAGGAGACGCUUGCAAUGACCAAGACCCCGAUCACAGUAACUCAAGAGGGCAGUCCCUACCAGACAAAGCCCCUGAUGUCAUGCAGGAUUGCUACUCUGGGACUGCCCUCCACCACCAAACGUUAGUACCAGAGCAGAGCAUUAACAGCAUGUCCCCUUCCACUUCUCUGCCACUGGCUACUCUGAAUGGAGUCGCUCCACCAUGGAAAUCUCCACCAUUAAAAAUUACACUUUCCCAUCUGAGCAAUCAAGAACUCCUAUGCUUUUGUAGCCAGGUGGGUGGUACUCUUGAACUGCAGCGCGGAAGCCCACUCAUGGCCGAGUGGCAUGGGACCACGGUGGAACGUCCUAAUGACGACUGUGGCUCUGUUUGCUAUUCUCCUAGUACAAAACAUGGUUCAGGGGUGGCAGGUUUCCAGCCACGAUCAAAGCAGGGCUUCCUGAAGGACUGCCUCUCCACAUUUUCUAAGGGAACUCCUCCUUCUCUGCAGUAUACCCACUCCUAUCCUCAGAACACCCUGGCCUCAUCGUCAUCCCAGUUUUUCACGCAGACACCAAAUCAAUCAGAUCCCUCAACAGAGACCAUUGAUCACCAGCAGGAUAAUUUCAAAUCCCGAUGCAGAGGAAAAUACUGGCUGAAGGAGUAUAGUCAAUGGCAGCAGACCCAUAAUCAUUUCAAGCUUAAAGAGCAUAACCUACCACCAGUAUUGACUUCUGAAAAACCAGAACCUUCGCUCAAUAUACCUAUGAAAGGCAAUGAGUCAAGUGAAGUUAGGCAGCUCUUGGUUUUGUCUCAACCUCAGGACCAGCAGCAACCUCCCAUAGAAAGGCAACACCAAUGGAUGUUAAGGAAUGGUUUACCUAGCUGCUGUGCGAAUGAGGGUGGAGUACAUUGUGGGAGCCAACAACCUUCCUUACACCAGCAUCUACAUCAAGACCCUGAAUGGCAGCAUUGUUGUGACCAUUUUAGCACCCUAAAAUGCCAUCAGUCUUCUCUUUACCCAUCCAGCAGCCCACGAGUGAAUAAUUCAUCUGCGGCUACUAGCAACAAAAGCAGUGUUCACUCCUCUUCCAGUUGCCAUCGGUGGCCUGAGAACCAUAGUCUAGUGGGGAAAAGGCAACGACAAAGAGAGCAGAAGGUACAUCCUCAUACCAAAAAGGUUGGCCAUGUUGGAUCGAUGCCUUCCCUGUCCAAGAGCAGUGGCCCACUCCUUCCCGACACAGUUGUGACCAGCGCUAAAUACAGUGGGGAUGUUGGAAGACCCCCGAGCAGCCUUGGAGCUUCGCCACCAAACCUUUCAGAGCUGGACUCAGAGAGACAAGAGCCCCUUCAGACUCUCCAAAGGUCUGUCUUGGAGGAGGUGUUCUCAAAAGGCUUCAGCGAGAACAACAGUAAGGCCAACAGUGAAGGAGGAAGCGACACGCCACAGAAGAAGACCAAGGACAUUGGCUAUAGAUUGAGCCAGCGUAAGGCACUCUUUGGAAAGCGCAAACAGUUGAGCGACUAUGCCUUGAUCUUUGGGAUGCUUGGGAUCGUCAUCAUGGUGAUGGAGACGGAAUUGUCCUGGGGGGUUUACACGAAGGAAUCCUCAUACUCAUUCUCUCUGAAAUGCCUUAUCAGCCUUUCAACUGCUAUAUUGCUCGGACUAAUCGUGAUGUACCAUGCACGGGAAAUACAGCUCUUCAUGGUGGAUAAUGCAGUUGAUGACUGGAGGAUUGCCAUGACUUAUGAGAGGAUCUUCCUAGUUCUGCUGGAGCUGCUGGUCUGUGCCAUCCACCCCAUCCCGGGCCAGUAUGUCUUCACCUGGACGGCCCGGCUGGCCUUCACCUACAUGCCCUCAGUAACUGAUGCCGACGUGGACAUCGUCCUCUCCAUCCCCAUGUUCCUCAGGCUCUACCUGAUCAGUCGCGUCAUGCUGCUGCACAGCAAGCUCUUCACAGACGCCUCGUCGCGCAGCAUCGGCGCAAUCAACAAGAUCAACUUCAACACGCGCUUCGUCAUGAAGACUCUCAUGACCAUCUGCCCCGGCACCGUGCUGCUGGUCUUCAGUGUCUCCUGUUGGAUCAUCGCCUCAUGGACAGUGCGCAUCUGUGAGAGAUAUCAUGACACACAAGAAGUGACCAGUAACUUCCUUGGGGCCAUGUGGCUCAUCUCUGUCACCUUUCUCUCCAUUGGUUAUGGAGAUAUGGUCCCUCACACUUACUGUGGAAAGGGUGUCUGUCUGCUGACUGGAAUCAUGGGGGCUGGCUGCACUGCCAUGGUGGUUGCUGUAGUUGCGAGGAGGUCAGAGUUGACCAGAGCUGAAAAGCACGUUCACAACUUCAUGAUGGACUCUCAGCUAUACAAACGAAGUCAUGCGUCCCCCAAAACAUGACCGACCAAGCCACGCUUCUUAACACCCGCUCGCUUAACCCAGAAGCACCAAUGUGUUGGAGGAAACACUGUUCAACUGAUGACAGAAGUCAGAUUGCAGGCACCCGGCCCACCACAAGAAGUCGCUAGAAAACGAUGAGUAAAGCCCCCCCGGCCAAACCCUCCCUUAACCCGGACGACGCUGGGCCAAUUGUGCCUCGCCCUAUCGGUCUCCCAGUCAUGGCUGGUUGUGACACAGCCUGGGAUCGAAUUCCAGGCUGUAGUGACGCAGCAACACUGCGAUGCAGUGCCUUAGACCACUGCGCCACUCAGGAUGCGGACCUGUGGAUUUACUACCCAAACCUGAUAAUAUAUUUUUUAAAUAAAUAGACAUUAUAAAAAAAGAUAAUGCCCCCAAUCAGCAACCCAAUCAGCAACCCAAUAAGCAACCCAAUAAGCAAAAUGUUGUUGAAAAGGUGUAUUUGUCUAAUGUUGAAAGCAUGUUCAUUUUCAGUUCUAAGGGCAAGUUUAAAGGCCCAGUGCAGUCAACAAUGUGAUUUUCCUGUGUUUUAUAUAUAUUUUCACACUAUGAUGUUGAAAUAAUACUGGGAAAUUGUGAAUAUGAUAAUGCCCUUUUAGUAUAAGAGCUGUUUGAAAAGAAGGCCUGAAAUUUCAGUCUGUUUUGAAUGAAGUUUUGGCCUACAUAUAUAAUAAUAAUCAUUCUAUUAAAUUUAAGUUACUAUCCAAUUAGUAGAAGGCUUUCGAAGUAGUUCAUUUUCUUCUUCUACUACUUCUAUGAGUUGGCAAACAAACUGAAAGUGUGCACACUGCCACCUGGAGUGUGUUGUUUGAACAGGUAUAAAGCCAAGGUUGGUGAUUUACUGCCACCUGCAGUUAUGGAAUGUUUCCUCACAAGUAUAAUUAAUUGGCUGAUCUCUCCUGAUGACCUGGAUGGACUUAUUUAGUCAUCCAUUAACCCAUAGGAAGCCCCACUCAGUUGCCUACUUCAAAAUGGUGAAAGUCCUCAAGGGCCAUGCUAACAGGCUUUUGGGAAUUAGUGUCUAUCUAUCUCUAUGGGCAAGACAGACUCCACUGCUAGGGCAGUCCAUUAUGACAGUCUGCCAUGUCAGCCAGUCUGUCAUGUCUCUGUUUUCUGGAAUGUUCCCAAAGGUGAAAAACACAGCUGCCAAUGUACUCAGGGAGACAUGGCUGAUCUACAAACACAUGAAAUUAGUCAAGAAGAUCGAUCACGCCAGGGUACGCAAACAUCAGCGGAAAUUCCUGGAAGCCAUUCACCAAUUGCGCAGAGUCAAAA